GUUCUUUGCUGCUUUGAAGGACAUAUACUAAAAUAGGAAUGAGGUGAAGAAGAUUAGUAUAGCUCCAAUACAAAGAUGACAUGCAGAUUUGAAAAACAUUCCAUAUGAAA